rnacentral:rRNA from 1 species
AGUGAACGCUGGCGGCGUGCUUAACACAUGCAAGUCGAACGGUAACAGGAAGUAGCUUGCUACUUUGCUGACGAGUGGCGCACGGGUGAGUAAUAUAUAGUUAAUGUACCUCAAAGACUGGGAUAGCCACUGGAAACGGUGAUUAAUACUAGAUAUACCUUUAUAACAAAAGUUGUAAAGGGAAAUGUUUUUUCGCUUGUAGAUCAGACUAUAUCCCACUCAGUUAGUUGGUAGUGUAAGAGACUACCAAGGCAAUAGACGGGUAGGCGGGUUUGGUAGAGGAUGAUCCGCCACACUGGUACUGAGACACGGACCAGACUCCUACGGGAGGCAGCAGUGAGGAAUAAUUGCAC